rnacentral:sRNA from 2 species
CCACCAUGUUGCAAUGCGGGAGAUUAGCUGGGAUCUGGUAUAACAUCCAUCGAUGGACAAGAAUGCCUUCGUUUAUCUGGGCCUUCACAGCAAUUGCCACGUGUUACCAAACUAGUUUACGCUUGCUCCGUUUUGAUCAAUGGUCUUUCAUCCCUAAACUGACGCGCUACCAACUGGCAUAGAGGAUCCCCCGUAUACAGCAAUCAGGCCCUCAUGAAUGGAUGCUCUUUCAGAGUCUGCAGCUAACGGUGACACUGAGAUUCAAUCGCCUGGGCUACUAUUUGUCUCUUUUGUAGGCUUCCAAAUAGAGCCUCAGAUGGCGCAUAUCCGAUCUUGCAGAUUCUUAAUCUCCCGUCUCGCACGCUACACAAAUUGCAACACCA